rnacentral:rRNA from 1 species
AACGAACGCUGGCGGCAUGCCUAACACAUGCAAGUCGAACGAGACCUUCGGGUCUAGUGGCGCACGGGUGCGUAACGCGUGGGAACCUGCCCUUAGGUUCGGAAUAACUCCCCGAAAGGGGUGCUAAUACCGGAUAAUGUCUUCGGACCAAAGAUUUAUCGCCUUUGGAUGGGCCCGCGUUGGAUUAGCUAGUUGGUAGGGUAAAAGCCUACCAAGGCGACGAUCCAUAGCUGGUCUGAGAGGAUGAUCAGCCACACUGGGACUGAGACACGGCCCAGACUCUUACGGGAGGAAGAAGUGGGGAAUAUUGGACAAUGGGCGAAAGCCUGAUCAAGCAAUGCCGGGUGAGUGAUGAAGGCCUUAGGGUUGUAAAGCUCUUUUACCCGGGAUGAUAAUGACAGUACCGGGAGAAUAAGCUCCGGCUAACUCCGUG